rnacentral:rRNA from 1 species
CCUACGGGUGGCAGCAGUGGGGAAUAUUGCGCAAUGGGCGAAAGCCUGACGCAGCGACGCCGCGUGAGGGAUGAAGGUCUUCGGAUCGUAAACCUCUGUCAGCAGGGAAGAUCGGUCACUGUGCUAAUCAGCAGUGAAUUGACGGUACCUGCAAAGGAAGCACCGGCUAACUCCGUGCCAGCAGCCGCGGUAAUACGGCGGGUGCGAGCGUUAAUCGGAAUUACUGGGCGUAAAGCGCUCGUAGGCGGUAUGUCAAGUCAAGGGUGAAAGCCCCGCGCUCAACGUGGGAACUGCCUUUGAAACUGGCAAACUGGAGUGUGUGAGAGGAGAGUGGAAUUCCAGGUGUAGGAGUGAAAUCCGUAGAUAUCUGGAGGAACAUCAGUGGCGAAGGCGACUAUCUGGCACAUAACUGACGCUGAGGAGCGAAAGCGUGGGUAGCAAACAGGAUUAGAUACCCGGGUAGUC